GAUGAACGCUGGCGGCGUGCUUAAUACAUGCAAGUCGAGCGAAAGGACGAGACGCUUGCUUCUCUGAUGUUAGCGGCGGGCGGGUGAGUCACACGUGUAUAAUCUCCCUGUAAGACUGGGAUAAUUUCGGGACACCGGAGAUAAUACCGUAUGAUAUUCUGAACCGCAGGGGUCAAAAGUGAAAGACGGUCUUGCUGUCUCUUAUAGCUGGAUCCGCGCUGCAUGAGCUAGUUGGUAAGUUAACAGGUUAUCAAGGCAACGAGGCAUAGCCGACCUGAGAGAGUGGUAGGCCGCAUGGGAACUGAGACACGGUCCAGACGCCUACGGUAGGCAGCAGUAGGGAAUCGUCCGCAAUGGGCGAAAGCCUGACGGAGCAGCGCCGCGUGAGUGAUGAAGGUCUUCGGAGCGUGAAACUCUGUUAUGGGUGAAGAACAGAUGUGUAAGUAGCUGUACACAUCGUGACGGUACCUAAUAAGAAAGCCACGGCUAACUACGUG
rnacentral:rRNA from 1 species